GGGGAAUAUUGCACAAUGGGCGCAAGCCUGAUGCAGCCAUGCCGCGUGUAUGAAGAAGGCCUUCGGGUCGUAAAGCUCUGUCCUCAAGGAAGAUAAUGACGGUACUUGAGGAGGAAGCCCCGGCUAACUACGUGCCAGCAGCCGCGGUAAUACGUAGGGGGCUAGCGUUAUCCGGAAUUACUGGGCGUAAAGGGUGCGUAGGUGGUUUCUUAAGUCAGAGGUGAAAGGCUACGGCUCAACCGUAGUAAGCCUUUGAAACUGGGGAACUUGAGUGCAGGAGAGGAGAGUGGAAUUCCUAGUGUAGCGGUGAAAUGCGUAGAUAUUAGGAGGAACACCAGUUGCGAAGGCGGCUCUCUGGUCUGUAACUGACGCUCAGGUGCGAAAGCGUGGGGAGC
rnacentral:rRNA from 1 species